rnacentral:rRNA from 1 species
UGCUUGGUGGCAAUAGCGCUGUGGCCCCACCUGAUCCCUUGCCGAACUCAGAAGUGAAACGCAGUUGCGCCGAUGGUAGUGUGGGAGUUCCCAUGUGAGAGUAGGUCACCGCCAAGCGC